UCCUGUUUCCACAUUAUAUAUUUUACAACCAAUAUUAUCAUUCAAUACCAACGCAAGAAAAAUCUAAAAUGGUAUCUUUUUUUUUUUUGUAAUUUUCGUUUUUGAAAACUCUGCAGCUUAUCAAUAUCAGUUUUAUCUAUUAGUUUCUGACUUAUGUUUUGUUCACUACGUUUUAAAACUGUUUAGAAACUCAAACCCCAAUUUUCAACAGUAAAAAUCUCAUCUUGUAAUGUUUUGUAUUUUAAUUGUUAGUUUUAAGCCUAUAAAAUACCAUUUCCAACACUACAUUUUUUUUUCUUUUUACAAAUGUUUUAAAAGAUCACACCAAAGCUUUCAAAACUAAAAAAAAAAUAAAGGUUGUUUUUGAAAGUUUGUCUUAUACAUAGGAAAGAAAAUAAAGAAAUAGAUUUUAUUUUUAAAAAUUAAAACCCAAAUGGUUACCAAAUAUGAAACUAAAAAAUAGUCUUGAAAAAAUUGUUUUUGUUCUUGAAAAUUGGACUAGAAAAUUUAAAAGUAAAAUGUGAAACAUAAUGAAACCAAAUGACAACGAGUAGAGAGCUUUAGUUAAUUAAAUUGUAGGGAAGGAAUUUCAAUAAAUAAACCAAAUCAUUUUUUUUUUUGGCAAGAAAAAAGAAGCAAAAAAGUUCAACUCCAUUUCAUAACAAUUUUAUUUUUUGUUUUUAAUUUAAGAAAUUUAUGGUUGUUUCCUCCCUAUGACUGUCAUCAAAAUAUCAAAGAAACACAUGGAUGCCUAGACAAAUUCUAAAAGCAAAAAAACAACUUUUCUUGUUAGUAUUAAAAAUUUUGGCCUUGUUUUUUAAAAUAUUAAUAGAAAGUGGAUAACAAAACGUAUAAAACUUAUAACUGAAACAGUGUUGAGCAGCAAAAUUUACAAAAACAAAUAGUUAUUAAACAAGGCCUCAUGUUGAUGUGAUAUAUGAAAUAACAAAAAGACAGGGUAGAAAGAAAGUGCCUAUAAUUGAUAGGUCACAAGGAACAUAAUAAACAAAGAUGAAUGUGGUUCAGAUCAUAGGCAAAAUAAAGAUUACUGUAAUGGAGGAGUAGGUUACCUUUAAAUCCCAGAGUAGAUUUACGGAUAAGAUCAAGUAAUUGAGUGGUGGAAUGCAAUCCACCUUGUGAUCGAGCUUUUACGAUUUUAUUCUGAAGAGAAUACCAAUUGCUUUCUUCUCCAUAAACCCGCAAGAUACGACCCACUUCUGUUUCCGGCCAAUUGUUCAAUAUGUCCUCUGCUUUUAGACUUGCCUGCCAUAAACCUGUUUCAAUCAGUAAGUAACCCACACAAUUAAAUAAUUAUUAACCCAUAAAACUUAUUUCUGCAUUAAAUUCUUGUGUAUCUUUCAACUCGGCGAAGAAAUUAAAAUAAUCCUAAAAUGUUAAACUUUUAUCGAAAUUGAAUAAAAAUGUUUCCAAAAUUUAUAGUGAAAAUUGUGAUAGAUAAAAAAUCUAACGAUAAACUCUUAGUUGGAACUAAACUUAAGAUUUGUUAAAAGAUUUCCAAAGUACUGGGACCAAAAUUAUAAGUGUCUUUUUCUUUUUUCAUUUAUGGCUUUUCCCUUUCCUUUUUGAGGAUGGGUGGUGGCUAGUGAGGAAUGCGGAGAAUUGUACGUUUCAUUCAGCUGUAAAGAGAACAAAGGACAGUAUUCAAAAGGAAGUCAGUAAUCUGCAGUCCAUCCAGCAGACAGUUAUAGAAAUAUUCUUUGGUAUCUUAUCCAACAAAAGAAAAGAGAAAACAAAGAAAAAAGAGACACUCAAUGGGAAAUCAAUCAAUCAAAGAAAAAGAAGAUCUAAUUCAGUAUGUGUUUUCCCAUAAUCAAAGGUGAAUAAAAAGCGCAUGGAUGAAUCAGUUUAACUGCUACAAAGGAAAAAGAAAGAGAAUAGCACGUAGAUACUUCAGUUAAGUAAAAGUUCAUCAAGGGUAAAUAAUGGAAUAGUUAGAAACAGAUUCAGAGCUUAUUAAAGAGGUGCUAUUCAGAACGAAACCUGUUUGGCAUAAUUUGGGAGAGAGGGGUUGGGUGGGUAAAAAGGUUUAUUACCUCAUUAUUCAUAUCAACUCACAUUUCUCACUUCGUUAUUCUUGUCAACACUAUCAAUUAUUUACCUAUAAUCAUUACCAAAUCAACUCUUUUUUUUUUUAUAGCUAACCAAACACCCCCUAUAAUAGUUUAUACCUGAGGAUCCAUUCGCAUAUCAAGAGGUCCAUCACCAAGGACUCUAAAUCCUCUUUCAGGGUCAUCCACCUAAGCAACCGGGAAAAAGGUUACAUUGAAUAUGAGAAAAUAAACAACAUAACUGACAGCAUGCGAUAUACUCUAUGAGAUGAAUAACAGAAACAUAGCUUUGUUAAAUGGACCAUACCAUUCAUCACACUGGACCCCAACAGUAUUAAUAAAUAAUAGCACCCUUAGUAUUUCUCUAUGUUUUCAUAGAUGUCAAGAAUACUACUAGUACACUAUCAGUAGAAAUUUUAUGUUCUUUUCACGAUCAGUGUGCAGUACCUUUAUACUGUAUUGUUAUGUUUUUGCCAUAUAUUCCAUUAGCACCUUAAAUGGAUGAGCAUACAAGUUUAAUCUCUACUUCGUUGAGUUGAGUGUUUUGAAUAUUAAUGGAUUUCCUUUCACAAACCUGCAUGGAUGACAUUCCUAAAUCCAUCAUCAUUCCAUCAACUCCAGGAUCUAGCGGUUUCUCAUCUGAAUCAGCCAGUAGUGAUUUCACAUAUUUAAAGUUCUUCAGAACUAUAUAUGCUUUCAAAUCAGAAUCCUCACUGAAGAAAUCACUUAUCCGAUCUUGAGCCUUGUCAAGUGCAAUUGGAUCAACAU
rnacentral:lncRNA from 1 species